rnacentral:snRNA from 1 species
GCCUACAGAGAAGAUUAGCAUGGUCCCUCACAAGGAUAACACACAAAUACAUGAAGCAUUCCAUAUUUUU